CGGAUCUUCUUGCUCUCAUAAAUAAGUAACGGCGGUCCUCUGGACUGCCUGGGAGUCGCCGUGGGAUUAAGCGCGCCUCGGGUUUCAGAAUCUCUAAUCAUGACAUUGAUUACCAAUAAGCAGUUCAUUUGUUAGCGUAGCGUGGCUUUUAGAGCGGUGUCGGUUUCAAACUGAAACUCAACUCACAAUCCAUGCGCCUCCUCUGAUGGGUUCUUAGCAGCUCACCUAAAAUAAACCUGGGCCGACAGACAUGUAAGAAGAGCCAAGGUUACCGAAUGUUGUAGCUACGAUAUGAAUGACAGUGAUCGGAAUUUAUUCAUGCAUUAAUGAGGUGUUAUUGAAAUAAGUCAUCACGCUAUAAAUCCAUCACUCAGUGAAGACGCCAUAGCCAAGCAAUGCAUGGAAAUAUUACAUAUUUCUUUGGGUGUGUGUUUUUGUUGCGUGUGUUAUGUGUUUGUAGGUCUUUUAUUUGUGUUUUUGUGUAUGCAUGAUGUAUCUGUGUGUGAGUUUAUGUGCUACUGAGCCACAAGGAGGUGGAGGAGGACAUCUGAUGAGGAGGUGCAGGAGGAAAGGAGCCAGUGAUGAGGAGGUGCAGGAGGAGGAGGUGAACCUGUGAUGAGGAGGAGGAGGAGGUGAACCUGUGAUGAGGAGGAGGAGGAGGAGGAGGUGAACCUGUGAUGAGGAGGUGUCGGAGGAGGAGGUGAACCUGUGAUGACGAGGAGGAG
ensembl:lncRNA